rnacentral:rRNA from 1 species
GAUGAACGCUGGCGGCGUGCCUAAUACAUGCAAGUCGAGCGAACAGACGAGGAGCUUGCUCCUCUGACGUUAGCGGCGGACGGGUGAGUAACACGUGGAUAACCUACCUAUAAGACUGGGAUAACUUCGGGAAACCGGAGCUAAUACCGGAUAAUAUAUUGAACCGCAUGGUUCAAUAGUGAAAGACGGUUUUGCUGUCACUUAUAGAUGGAUCCGCGCCGCAUUAGCUAGUUGGUAAGGUAACAGCUUACCAAGGCAACGAUGCGUAGCCGACCUGAGAGGGUGAUCGGCCACACUGGAACUGAGACACGGUCCAGGCUCCUACGGGAGGCAGCAGUAGGGAAUCUUCCGCAAUGGGCGAAAGCCUGACGGAGCAACGCCGCGUGAGUGAUGAAGGUCUUCGGAUCGUAAAACUCUGUUAUUAGGGAAGAACAAAUGUGUAAGUAACUAUGCACGUCUUGACGGUACCUAAUCAGAAAGCCACGGCUAACUACGUG